UGACAGCGAUUUUCUUUUCAUAGCCAUCGCUGACGCUUUUUUUUCGAUCAUACGUAUAAGUUAGGUUAGGUUAACGCACUUGUUUUUUUUUACGUUUUUGGUAUCAAGUUUUAUGCUUUUCGAAUGAGAUUUUAAUGAAUGUAAAUCUUUUAGCCAACUAAAAAUUGAAGUAGAUAAAACAUGGAUAAAACCAGGGGAUACGAGUAUAUCAAUCUAAUGAUAAAAUCGAUUACAAAUAAUAUUCAGUAUUAUAUAUUCUCAAUAAUAUUUUUUUAAUGAUAUAAUCAUUUGAAAUGUUUAAAAUAAGAACAUAAAGGGGCCUCAAAUUACUGUCACAAGAGAAAUGAUUGGAUAUAGAUUUCAAAACUUUAGCGAAAAGGAAUUUGAAAUCAUAAAUAAGACAAUUCAACAUGCGAAGACAAAAUAUGAAAGAUCCAAAAAAUCAAUUAAAAUAUAAGUUUGCUUUUCCUUGUACAUAUAUUUAAUGUUAUACUUUCCUUUUGUAUUUUUGAAUAAGAAAUAUAUAAUAAUGUUUAUACUGUACCAAUA